rnacentral:rRNA from 1 species
GACGAACGCUGGCGGCGUGCCUAAUACAUGCAAGUAGAACGCAGUUGCGAACGGGUGAGUAACGCGUAGGUAACUGCCUCAUAGCGGGGGAUAACUAUUGGAAACGAUAGCUAAUACCACAUACUGUGAGAUGGACCUGCGUUGUAUUCGCUAGUUGGUGAGGUAAAGGCUCACCAAGGCGACGAUACAUAGCCGACCUGAGAGGGGGAUCGGGCAAAACUGGACUUAGACACGGCCCAGACCCCCAAGGGAGGCAGCAGGAGGGAAUUGUCGGCAAUGGACGGAAGUCUGAACGAGCAACGCCGCGUGAGUGAAGAAGGUUUUCGGGUCGUAAAGCUCUGUUGUUAGAGAAGCGGUAACUAAACAGAAAGGGACGGCUAACUACGUGCCAGCAGCCGCGGUAAUAC